rnacentral:rRNA from 1 species
CUACGGGGGGCUCCAGUGGGGAAUAUUGGACAAUGGGGGAAACCCUGAUCCAGCAAUGCCGCGUGUGUGAAGAAGGCCUGCGGGUUGUAAAGCACUUUCGGUUGGGAGGACUGCUUCUAGCACUAAUAUUGUUGGAAGUUGACGUUACCUUCAGAAGAAGCACCGGCUAACUCCGUGCCAGCAGCCGCGGGUAAUACGGAGGGUGCAAGCGUUAAUCGGAAUUACUGGGCGUAAAGCGCGCGUAGGCGGCUAGAUCAGUCGGGUGUGAAAGCCCCGGGCUUAACCUGGGAACUGCAUCCGAUACUGUCUAGCUUGAGUACAGGAGAGGAGAGUGGAAUUCCACAUGGAGCGGUGAAAUGCGUAGAUAUGUGGAGGAACACCAAUGGCGAAGGCAGCUCUCUGGCCUGAUACUGACGCUGAGGUGCGAAAGCGUGGGGAGCAAACAGGAUUAGAUACCCUCGUAGUC